CCUACGGGUGGCAGCAGUGGGGAAUAUUGCACAAUGGGCGCAAGCCUGAUGCAGCCAUGCCGCGUGUGUGAAGAAGGCCUUCGGGUUGUAAAGCACUUUCAGCGGGGAGGAAGGCGGUGAGGUUAAUAACCUCAUCGAUUGACGUUACCCGCAGAAGAAGCACCGGCUAACUCCGUGCCAGCAGCCGCGGUAAUACGGAGGGUGCAAGCGUUAAUCGGAAUUACUGGGCGUAAAGCGCACGCAGGCGGUCUGUCAGGUCGGAUGUGAAAUCCCCGGGCUCAACCUGGGAACUGCAUUCGAAACUGGCAGGCUAGAGUCUUGUAGAGGGGGGUAGAAUUCCAGGUGUAGCGGUGAAAUGCGUAGAGAUCUGGAGGAAUACCGGUGGCGAAGGCGGCCCCCUGGACAAAGACUGACGCUCAGGUGCGAAAGCGUGGGGAGCAAACAGGAUUAGAUACCCGUGUAGUC
rnacentral:rRNA from 1 species